rnacentral:lncRNA from 1 species
AUGUCAUCCCCGCACGUAGCAACGCGCGGAGGGGAGCGGGCUCUGCCCCCGGCACGGCCAUCGGCCACGGCUGGAGAUAGCCUGGGGACCCCUACCAGCCCCACGACGGCCCCAAGUGCAGGGAUGGAGGAGGGCGUCCGGACAGAGAGAAGGGACGAAUGGCAGGGCGUUUGUCCUGAGCAGCCAAAGCGCAAGAAUUCAUGAAAGCUGAGCAAAUUAAAGAUGAGUCUUUAAAGAUAACACAAAAAGUUCCCAGCCAAGAUGGACGAAUAGGAACAACUCUGGUCUGCAGUUCCCAGUGAGACCAAUGCAGAAGGAGGAGGAUGAAGCUCAGAAAGUUCAGUUGACCUGAGAAAAGUCACACAGACAGUGACUAGCAAAACUGCAAGCGGACUAAUACUUACCUGAUUCGAAGUCUCCUGAUGGUUUUGCUAUGCCUCCACGUAGAAUGCCUAUCCAUUGCAAUUCCCUGCCUCAGGGACCAGUGGAAGAAGGGUGAGAGCAAAGAAUUGGAAAGAGAAGAUGUUGGCUUUCCUCUUUUCUAUCUGCAAGACCCCUGCCUAGACAUAUCUGUGUGGUG